CAAUAGCGUAUAUUAAAGUUGUUGCGGUUAAAAAGCUCGUAGUUGGAUUUCUGCUGAGGAUGACCGGUCCGCCCUGUGGGUGUGCAUCUGGCUCAGCCUUGGCAUCUUCCUGAAGAACGUAGCUGCACUUGACUGUGUGGUGCGGUAUUUAGGACAUUUACUUUGAGGAAAUUAGAGUGUUUCAAGCAAGCGCACGCUUUGAAUACAUUAGCAUGGAAUAAUAAGAUAGGACCUUGGUUCUAUUUUGUUGGUUUCUAGAGCUGAGGUAAUGAUUGAUAGGGAUAGUUGGGGGCAUUCGUAUUUAACUGUCAGAGGUGAAAUUCUUGGAUUUGCUAAAGACGGACUACUGCGAAAGCAUUUGCCAAGGAUGUUUUCAUUGA
rnacentral:rRNA from 1 species